GGGAAUUAUGCCCCCUUAUGUCAGGGCUUCACACAUGCUAAAUGGCCAGUACAGAGGGCUGCGAGACCGUGAGGUGGAGCGAAUCCCUUAAAGCUGGUCUCAGUUCGGAUCGGGGUCUGCAACUCGACCCCGUGAAGUCGGAGUCGCUAGUAAUCGCAGAUCAGCAACGCUGCGGUGAAUACGUUCCCGGGCCUUGUACACACCGCCCGUCACGUCAUGAAAGUCGGUAACACCCGAAGCCGGUGGCUUAACCCCUUGUGGGAGGGAGCCGUCGAAGGUGGGAUCGGCGAUUGGGACGAAGUCGUAACAAGGUAGCCGUACCGGAAGGUGCGGUUGGAUCACUAUCCUACAGG
rnacentral:rRNA from 1 species